AGAGUUUGAUCCUGGCUCAGAACGAACGCUGGCGGCAGGCUUAACACAUGCAAGUCGAACGCUCGUAGCAAUACGGGAGUGGCAGACGGGUGAGUAACGCGUGGGAACAUACCCUCCGGUUCGGAAUAGCUCAGGGAAACUUGGAUUAAUACCGGAUACGGCUGAGAGGCGAAAGAUUUAUCGCCGGAGGAUUGGCCCGCGUUCGAUUAGCUAGUUGGUGAGGUAACGGCUCACCAAGGCGAUGAUCGAUAGCUGGUCUGAGAGGAUGAUCAGCCACAUUGGGACUGAGACACGGCCCAAACUCCUACGGAAGGCAGCAGUGGGGAAUAUUGGACAAUGGGCGCAAGCCUGAUCCAGCCAUGCCGCGUGAGUGAUGACGGCCUUAGGGUUGUAAAGCU
rnacentral:rRNA from 1 species